rnacentral:rRNA from 1 species
AUUGAACGCUGGCGGCAUGCCUUACACAUGCAAGUCGAACGGCAGCACGGACUUCGGUCUGGUGGCGAGUGGCGAACGGGUGAGUAAUGCAUCGGAACGUGCCAUUGAGUGGGGGAUAACGUAGCGAAAGUUGCGCUAAUACCGCAUAUUCUGUGAGCAGGAAAGCAGGGGACCGCAAGGCCUUGCGCUCUUUGAGCGGCCGAUGUCAGAUUAGCUAGUUGGUGAGGUAAAGGCUUACCAAGGCGACGAUCUGUAGCGGGUCUGAGAGGAUGAUCCGCCACACUGGAACUGAGACACGGUCCAGACUCCUACGGGAGGCAGCAGUGGGAAUUUUGGACAAUGGGGGCAACCUGAUCCAGCCAUGCCGCGUGAGUGAAGAAGGCCUCGGUU